GACGUAGGAGACGAGCGUUAUCCGGAAUUACUGGGCGUAAAGAGCGUGUAGGCGGAAGGACAAGUUGGUCGUGAAAGCUUCCGGCUAAACUGGGAGAGGUCGAUCAAGACUGUUUUUCUAGAGUUCGACAGAGGGGUAUGGAAUUCCGGGUGUAGUGGUGAAAUGCGUAGAGAUCCGGAGGAACACCAGUGGCGAAGGCGAUGCCCUGGGUCGAAACUGACGCUAAGACGCGAAAGCAUGGGGAGCGAACGGG
rnacentral:rRNA from 1 species